UAUGUCAUCGAAGUUUAGGGGCGUCUCUCCUCGCUUCUUCCAGCUGCGUGACAACGGGAGACGCUCACCGCUCCGGCGGCUGAUACAUCAGUCAGGCUGUCGUUUCAGUCGAGCAACUACUCCCUCUCAAGACGUCUGAGGAAGAGAAGUGGUUGCAUAUAGUUGAAGGGCACCAGCCCAAGGACAAGACUUUUGACAGUUGGAGGGUGCCCUUUUUCUCUGUGUUUCAAAUGUUCUCAAUGCAUGUUGAAGAAUGAGCGGAUGAGGCCGGAGCCGUACCGAAAGCGAGUCUUCGUAGGGUUAGACCGCAGGCAAAGCCGGAAGUGUUUACAUUUGUACUCCAACAGGUUUGCUAACUCCUAGGAUGAGAAGUAGGUCUUUUGUUUUUGGCAGGAAUAGUUCCAGCCUUUGUUUCUUGCCCUUUGUCCUUGAGGCUCUCUCCCAAAGGUAAGUGGGAAAUAAAUGGAGGAUGGAGCUGACCGAUAUUGAACAUUUAUAGGCUUCGGCCCCAUAAAUAGAAACUCGUAAAACAUUAGCAUAAAUGGAGAUUUUAGGUGCAAUAGAAAGGAAUGCUGUAACCGGGUCAUCUAGGGCAAAGAGGUUGUACGUACAGAUAUGAAACGUCGAGUUAUCCAAGACUCUAGAUAACCUGGAGCCAAGACCAAUCGCGAAGACUGAAGAGGUUUUUCUUCUUCAAUAGAUUAUCCAGAUAGUGAUAAGUACCUCCUCUUGUUCUUCUCCAUGGAGCUUCUUCUGUGAAAGUGAUAGAUGUAUGGGUUAUGAACCUGGGCUAUAGUUAGUAUGGGUUGUUUUGGCUGUUAGUAUUAGUUAGUUAGUAGUUGCGGCAAUGAAUAGUUAUAAAUACAGAUUAGGUAGAGGAGAAAGGGAUCGGAGAAAAGUUUGAGAAAGGGUUAGGGUUUGUUUGGGGAAUGAGAGGAUGGGAUCCUCUCAUAAAUCAAGAUCAUCCAAAGUUGUAUUCAGGUUUUCGGUGAGGAAUAAAGGCUCGAUUGGUGCUGAAAAGUUGAGUUUCAGAUUCUGAACCUUAACAGAAAGCACGUAUGAUGAGGACAGGUUGACACAUAAAUUUGAACAUUUAUAGGUUUCGGCCCCAUAAAUAGAAACUCAUAAAAAAUAUUAGCAGAAAUAGAGAUUUCAGGUGCAUUAGAAAGGAAUGUUGUAACUGCGGUUGUCUAGGGCAAAGAGGUUGUACGUAUAGAUAUGAAACGUCGUGUUAUCCAAGACUCUAGCUAACUCGGAGCCAAGAUCAAUCAUGAAGAGGUUUUACUUCUUCAGUAGAAUAUCCGAAUAGUGAUAAGUACCCUCUCGUUCUUCCCGUAGUGAGCUUCUUCUGUGAAAGCACGUUCGAUGAGGGCAGGUUCCCACAUGUAAAAUUGUAAUUUUGAAUUGAUUGAUCGGGGAAAGCUGGUUCCGUGGGCUGGAGCAUGGCUUAUCCUCUGUGUGACCCGGAACAGUAUUGAAAGCGAGUCUACAUAGGGUUAGACCAGAGGGAAAGUCAGAAGUGUUUUCAUUUGCUAUCUCCUAGGAUGAGAUGUAGGUCCUUUGUUUUUUGGCAGGAAUAGUUCCAAACUUUGUUUCUUGCCCCUUGUUGCUGGAGGCUCUCUCCUAAAGGUAGGUGGGAAAUAAAUGGAGGAUGAAGCUGUCAAUAUUGAAGAUUUAGAGGUUUUGGCCCCAUAAAUAGAAACUUGUAAAACAUUAGUAGAAAUAGAGAUUUUAGGCGCAAUAGAAAGGAAUGCUGUAACCGGGGUUGUUCAGGGGAGAGAGGUUGUACUUAUAAAUAUAAAACGUCGAGUUAUCCAAGAUUCUAGCCAGCUCGGAGACAGGAUCAAUCGUGAAGACUGACGAGGUUUUACUUCUUCAGUUGAAUAUCUGGAUAGUGAUAAGUAUUUGUACCCCUCUCGUACUUCUCAUAGGGAGCUUGUUCUGUGAAAGCACGUUCGGUGUGGGCAGGUUCCCAAAAAAUUGAAUAUUUAUAGGCCUGCUGUAUAUAUAGAAGCUCAUAAAACAUUAGCAGAAAUAGAGAUUUUAGGCGCAAUAGAAAGGAAUGCUGUAAUCGGGGGUCGUCUAGGGUAGAGAGGUUGUAUGUAUAGAUAUGAAACGUCGAGUUAUCCAAGACUGUCGCUACCUCUGACCCAGGAUAAAUCGUGAAGAUGUUUUUCUUCUUCAUUUGAAGAUUCCCAUAGGGAGCUUCUUUUGUGAAAGCGCGUUCGAUAAGGGCAGGUUCACACAUGUAAAUUUGAAUUGAUUGAUCAGGGAAAGCUGGUUCUGUGGCAUUAGAAGCUAAGUAUCCGGAAAGAAGGAGGAAUGAGGAUAUGGAGAAAGAAGCAAUGGUGAUCCAUACGCAACUUAGUAACGAGUACUGGAAAUGUUUCUCUGAUAUGCUUCCUUUACCCAUAGUUCAACCGAUCGGAAGCUCCUUCUCUGUCCUUUCUUCCCCCUAUUCUCUCAAGCCUAUCUCACUAUAUGAUUGUUAGCUCCGGACACCAAACGAGGAUUGGAUAUGAUUGGCGGGUCAGUUAAUGUCCUGCUUGGCUUUCUAUUUUCAUGCCAAACUAA